rnacentral:lncRNA from 1 species
AUGUUUUAGUAGUUGAGAGUGAAUGUGGGCAAGUUGCUCAACAAUAUCCACAGGUAUAAUUCUGAGAACCUGGCCUCCCUGGGGAGCUAUGUGGAGAUACAGGCCAAGGAGAAUGCCUGUGAUCUAGAAGCCAGCUUGACUGUCCUGAAGCUGUACUAGUUCAACCCAGCCUUCUUUCAGACCACGGUCACCACCCAGAUCCCGCUGAAGGCCUUUACCAACCCAUGCCACACCAGCUUCACCCUGUGCAAGCACAUGGUCAUCCAAGCGCAUCAAGAAAAGCAGCUGAUCCAACAGAUUUUGUACCUGGGAGAUCUGCUGGAGACUUGACACUUCCAGGCCUUCUGGCAAGCCCUGGAUGAAAACAUGACCCUUUUGGAAAGUAUAACUGGCUUUGAAGGCUGUUAGAAAAUUUGUCUCCCAUGUCAUGGAUAUCACUCAGCCGGCAUAUUUACUGCUGGCUGCUGGCUGAGAUGCUCGGGGAUUUGACAGCCAGCCAGCUGAAGAUAUGGAUGAGAAAAUAUGGCUGAAGCACCGAUGAGUCAGGGCAGAUCUUCAUCUGUAGCCAAGAAGAAAGCAUGAAGCCCAAGAACAUUGUGGAGAAGAUUGACUUUGAAAGUGCAUCC